GACGAACCGUGCGAACGUUGUUCGGAAUCACUGGGCUUAAAGGGCGCGUAGGCGGGCUGACAAGUCUGGGGUGAAAUGCCGCGGCUCAACCGUGGAACUGCCUUAGAUACUGUCGGCCUCGAGGAAGGUAGGGGCAUGCGGAACUGUAGGUGGAGCGGUGAAAUGCGUUGAUAUCUACAGGAACUCCGGUGGCGAAAGCGGCGUGCUGGACCUUUUCUGGCGCUGAGGCGCGAAAGCUAGGGGAGCAAACGGG
rnacentral:rRNA from 1 species